GACAGAGGGGCGAGCGUUGUCCGGAGUUACUGGGCGUACAGCGCGCGCAGGCGGCCGUGAAGGUGCCGGGUGACAGACAAGGGCUUAACCCUUGGCGGUCCCGGUAGACCGGACGGCUGGAGGCUGGGAGAGGGAUGUGGAAUACCCGGUGGAGCGGUGAAAUGCGUAGAGAUCGGGUGGAACACCAGGGGCGAAGGCGGCACUC
rnacentral:rRNA from 1 species